rnacentral:rRNA from 1 species
UAGGGGAUAUUGGUAAUGGGCGAAAGCCUGAACCAGCAACGCCGCGUGUGCGAUGAAGGCCUUCGGGUCGUAAAGCACUUUUGAGUGGGACGAGGAAGGACGGUACCAUUCGAAUCAGCCUCGGCUAACUACGUGCCAGCAGCCGCGGUAAAACGUAGGAGGCGAGCGUUAUCCGGAUUUACUGGGUGUAAAGCGCAUGCAGGCGGCGCGAUAAGUUGGGUGUGAAAGCUCCUGGCCUAACCGGGAGAGGUCGCUCAAGACUGUCGUGCUCGAGCGUGGUAGAGGAAGGCGGAAUUCCGGGUGUAGUGGUGAAAUGCGUAGAGAUCCGGAGGAACACCAGUGGCGAAAGCGGCCUUCUGGACCAUGACUGACGCUCAGAUGCGAAAGCCAGGGUAGCAAACGGG